CACAUAAAUUGUUUCCAUUCCAGUAGCUUGGUUUGUCUAUAUACCAAUUACUAAAUUUUAUUUCUCCGUAACUGUAGAAAGCAUCAUCAUCCAGAGACCAUCUCCAGCUGUUCAGAUCAUCAUACAGUCCAAUCCAGGCUGAACCAGAGUAGCUGCCAUUUACUGUGUUAAGGAGUGUGUUCAUUUCCUCCAUGUUAUUAAUGGUUGCCAGAAAGCGUCAUCAUCCAGAGACCAUCUCCAGCUGUCCUCAUCACCAUACAGUCCAAUCCAGGCUAAACCUGAGUAGCUGCCAUUUACUGUGUUAAGGAGUGUGUUCAUUUCCUCUAUGUUAUCAAUAGUAGCCAGAAAGAAUCAUCAUCCAGAGACCAUUUCCAGCUGUUCAGAUCAUCAUACAGUCCAAUCCAGGUUCGACUGCUGUUCCAGAUGUCAAUUAUGUUUGUAAGGGCCAAGUCCUCUUCUGUGUUAGUAAUAGAGGCUAAAUCAACAUAAUUCUCUCUGCAGUAUAUCUGUGCUUCAGACCAGGUCUUAUUCUCAUUAAUGAAGUGAUACUGACGAGGAAGACAGA